rnacentral:rRNA from 1 species
GAUGAACGCUGGCGGCGUGCCUAAUACAUGCAAGUCGAGCGAACAGAUGAGGAGCUUGCUCCUCUGACGUUAGCGGCGGACGGGUGAGUAGCACGUGGAUAGCCUACCUAUAAGACUGGGAUAACUUCGGGAAACCGGAGCUAAUACCGGAUAAUAUAUUGAACCGCAUGGUUCAAUAGUGAAAGACGGUUUUGCUGUCACUUAUAGAUGGAUCCGCGCCGCAUUAGCUAGUUGGUAAGGUAACGGCUUACCAAGGCAACGAUGCGUAGCCGACCUGAGAGGGUGAUCGGCCACACUGGAACUGAGACACGGUCCAGACUCCUACGGGAGGCAGCAGUAGGGAAUCUUCCGCAAUGGGCGAAAGCCUGACGGAGCAACGCCGCGCGAGUGAUGAAGGUCUUCGGAUCGUAAAACUCUGUUAUUAGGGAAGAACAAAUGUGUAAGUAACUAUGCACGUCUUGACGGUACCUAAUCAGAAAGCCACGGCUAACUACGUG